CCCCUCUCAAGGUCUCAACUGGAGAGUUUCCAGUACUCUACCAGUCUUGACUAGGGGAGGGAGAGUCAUGUAGAGGCAUAUCCAUUCCAUUCCUAGUUUGACCGGUGGCUAGCAAGUGGAAGGCAAUUUGCUACAAGU